rnacentral:rRNA from 1 species
UACGAAGGGUGCAAGCGUUGCUCGGAAUUAUUGGGCGUAAAGGGUUGGUAGGUGGUCUUGUUUGUCUAAGGUGAAAUCCCAUGGCUUAACUGUGGAAGUGCCUUGGAAACGGCAAGACUAGAGUCCUAGAGGGGUUUGUGGAAUUCCCGGUGUAGCGGUGAAAUGCGUAGAGAUCGGGAGGAACACCAGUGGCGAAGGCGGCAAACUGGAUAGGCACUGACACUCAACAACGAAAGCGUGGGGAGCAAACAGG